GCGAGAGUGGUGAAACGGCAGACACGCCGGAUUUAGGUUCCGGUGCCUUACGGCGUAAGGGUUCAAGUCCCUUCUCUCGCA
rnacentral:tRNA from 5 species